rnacentral:ncRNA from 2 species
UAUAUAAUUAGAGUUUCAGGUGCCAUUUUGGUGAAAAGGGAAUAUGGUAAAAGCCAUAACAGCCCCCGCUACUGUAAGUGAUGACUAAGCUUUGUAUCCACUUUUAUUUUAGAGGAAGGAACAAAGCAUUAAAGGGAUGAGUCACAAGUCAGGAGACCUGCCUGAAACCAUGGAUUUAA